ACGUUCUUGUCCGAUCACUGAAGUUAAGCAACAUCGAGCCUGUUCAGUACCUAAAUGGGCGACCGCCUGGAUAUUCCAGGUGCUGUAA